rnacentral:rRNA from 1 species
AUACGGAGGAUCCGAGCGUUAUCCGGAUUUAUUGGGCGUAAAGGGUUCGCAGGCGGUCUGAUAAGUCAGAUGUGAAAGGCAAUGGCUCAACCAUUGUAAGCAUUUGAAACUGUCAGACUUGAGUUAAGGAGAGGAAAGUGGAAUUCCUAGUGUAGCGGUGAAAUGCGUAGAUAUUAGGAGGAAUACCAGUGGCGAAGGCGACUUUCUGGACUUAUACUGACGCUGAGGAACGAAAGCGUGGGGAGCAAACAGGAUUAGAUACCCUGGUAGUCCACGCCGUAAACGAUGAGUGCUAGGUGUUGGGGGUCAAACCUCGGUGCCGCAGCUAACGCAUUAAGCACUCCGCCUGGGGAGUACGUACGCAAGUAUGAAACUCAAAUGAAUUGACGGGG